rnacentral:snRNA from 1 species
GUGCUCACUUUGGCAGCACAUAUACUUAAAUUAGAAUGAUAUAAAGAAGAUUAGCAUGGCCCUGCUCAAGGAUGACAUGCAAAUUGGUGAAGCAUUUCAUGUUUUU